GACGAACGCUGGCGGCGUGCCUAAUACAUGCAAGUCGAACGCAGUGGGGACGGGUGAGUAACACGUGGGUAACCUCCCAUCAGAGGGGAUAACACUUGGAAACAGGCGCUAAACCGACACUGAUGGAUGGACUCGUGGGGCAUUAGCUAGUUGGUGAGGUAACGGCUCACCAAGGCCACGAUGCAUAGCCGGCCUGAGAGGAUGAUCAGCCACACUGGAACUGAGACACGGCCCAGACUCCUACGGGAGGCAGCAGUAGGGAAUCUUCGACAAUGGGCGAAAGUCUGACCGAGCCACGCCGCGUGAGUGAAGAAGGUUUUCGGAUCGUAAAGCACUGUUAUUGGGGAAGCGGUAUCUAAACAAGAAGCCACGGCUAACUACGUGCCAGCAGCCGCGGUAAUUC
rnacentral:rRNA from 1 species